AAGUAUCACGCCGAAGACAGCAGGUGCCGUAUGGCAUAAGGUUCAAAACGCCUGCCGAGGAUGAACAUUCUUUUUCAGGAAUGAUUUUCAAAUCCCGCUAAGCUUUGGCUUGGCGGGAUUUUUU
rnacentral:sRNA from 1 species